rnacentral:misc_RNA from 1 species
GCGAGUAUAACUCCCUAAACCAUUGUGAACGACUACCACUGUUGCCUUCGGCGGAUCAGCCGCUCCGGUAACGGACGGCCGCAGAGGACCCUAAACUCUUGUUAUUAUAUGUAAUUCUCUGAGUAAACUUAUUCAAUAAGUAA